rnacentral:rRNA from 1 species
UAGGCCGGCCUCUUCACUGAGGCCCCCUGGAAACAGGGAGCAGCCCGCCGGCGGCCAACUAAACUCUUGUUUCUAUAGUGAAUCUCUGAGUAAAAACAUAAAUGAAUCAAAACUUUCAACAACGGAUCUCUUGGUUCUGGCAUCGAUGAAGAACGCAGCGAAAUGCGAUAAGUAAUGUGAAUUGCAGAAUUCAGUGAAUCAUCGAAUCUUUGAACGCACAUUGCGCCCUCUGGUAUUCCGGAGGGCAUGCCUGUUCGAGCGUCAUUUCAACCCUCAAGCCUGGCUUGGUGAUGGGGCACUGCCUUCUAGCGAGGGCAGGCCCUGAAAUCUAGUGGCGAGCUCGCUAGGACCCCGAGCGUAGUAGUUAUAUCUCGU